ACUGAAGCGGGCCACUAGAGUCCUUGAGGUAGUUAGUGGCUAUCCAAGGACUAGGAGACCGAGGGUGGGUGGCUUCCCAGUGGAAUCCCCAGCUGCUGGGCGGGGUGACAAGGAGGGGAGGAACAACCUCACUGAGCCCUGGGCUCAACCUUACUGUGGACGAAAGCAGGGACCUCAAGGAGCCGUGAAGUGCAAAGGGUGCAGCUGUGGAAAGCUGCCAGAACCUCUCUAGAUGGUCGCGUCUGCAGAGCUCAGCCACCAGGCCUUCUAGUGCGCUGGGCUCUCCCCUAGUCCAGACUGAUGGUUGCAUGCCAGACAUGCGCCAGAGGCCGGGUGGCCUCCACUGUGCGUUACUGCAUGACGGUCGGUGGCUCAGUGGUCCUGGUGGUUGGGACACUCUGCUUCGCGUCGUGGAGCGAAGGCAGUGUUGCCGUCCAGCCUGGCUCGCUGCCCGCCACCGUGAAGCAGCCAUCUCCCGAGAUGCCCCCAACUUGGCUCAAGUCUGUCAUCAUCCUCUGCUGCAUCGUGGGUGGUCUGCUUCUGUUCUUUGGCCUGCUUUGGUCCAUCCAGGAAAGGACAAAGAAGUCAAGCCAGGGGGACUUCUACCGACUCUCCAGAGACCUGUAUCGCCUUGCUGUGGAGUGCCCUGUGAAGGAGCCCUACAGAUCACCUUUGUGCCAGCAGACUCUGACUUCCAAGGCAUCUUGUCCCCAAAGGCCCUGAGCCUGCUGGAGACCGGGCUUUCGGAGGUAAAGAGCCCCCAGCCCCCCUACGUCAGGCUGUGGGAAGAAGCCGCCUAUGACCAGAGCCUCCCAGACUUCACUCACAUCCAAAUGAAGGUCAUGGGCUACAGUGAGGACCCCAGGCCACUGCUGGCCCCCGAGCUGAAGACAGGAGCCAGCAGUGUCAGGGAAGGCGAGCCUCGUACUGCUCAGGCCUGGAUGGAGGCUCCGGUGGUCG
rnacentral:lncRNA from 1 species